rnacentral:tRNA from 1 species
AUUGCUGUGGCUAGGACAUGGUUAAGCACUUGGCUGGUAACUGAGAGGUUGGUGCUUUGAACCCACCCAGCAGUU